CUCCAGCAUGGACCUGGCAUACAGUUGGCAGUCCAUAUAGGUUAAACUCAUCUCUGAAUCAAUGGAUGGAUAUAGAUGUAGCCCAGCAGCCACUGGGAGCUUGUGAGGUCUGGGAAGGACUUGGAACCACCCCUUCAGCCAGCACAGUCCUCUCUGAGUCAUGGCAUCUUGCUGAGCUGUGAGGUUGCCCUUAUUUGAUAAGGGAACUACCGUAAAACACGAAUGGUAAAAUCUACACGGUGGAUAUUUGAGUGUCUACUGUAAAUGUCCUUCAACUUUGCUUGUAUGAUUUAAUUUGGAAACAAAAAAACAAAACCAAACCCACAACGCUCUUCAGAGUUCCAAUGAUGAAAGGUUUGAAAGCCACUGAGUUCAGCCCUCCCAUGUUGCAGAUGGAAAGAGUGAGGUCCAGAGAAGAGGCGGCACUGGCUCCAGGUCACACAGCGAGCCG
ensembl:lncRNA